CGGCUCAGUAACACGUGGACAACCUACCCUUGAGACGGGGAUAAACCCGGGAAACUGGGUAUAAUACCCGAUAGAUCUCGACUGCUGGAAUGCAUCGAGCUUGAAAGCUCCGGCGCUCAAGGAUGGGUCUGCGGCCUAUCAGGUAGUAGUGGGUGUAGCGUACCUACUAGCCUACGACGGGUACGGGUUGUGAGAGCAAGAGCCCGGAGAUGGAUUCUGAGACACGAAUCCAGGCCCUACGGGGUGCAGCAGGCGCGAAAACUUUACAAUGCUGGAAACAGCGAUAAGGGGACCUCGAGUGCCAGGUUACAAAUCUGGCUGUCGUGAUGCCUAAAAAGCAUUGCAUAGCAAGGGCCGGGCAAGACCGGUGCCAGCCGCCGCGGUAACACCGGCGGCUCGAGUGGUAACCGUUAUUAUUGGGUCUAAAGGGUCUGUAGCCGGCCGGAUAAGUCUCUUGGGAAAUCUGGCAGCUUAACUGUCAGGCUUUCAGGAGAUACUGUCUGGCUCGAGGCCGGGAGAGGUGAGAGGUACUUCAGGGGUAGGGGUGAAAUCUUGUAAUCCUUGAAGGACCACCAGUGGCGAAGGCGUCUCACCAGAACGGACCUGACGGCAAGGGACGAAAGCUAGGGGCACGAACCGGAUUAGAUACCCGGGUAGUCCUAG
rnacentral:rRNA from 1 species